UACGAGGGGGGCAAAUGUUGUUCGGAAUCACUGGGCGUAAAGGGAGCGUAGGCGGGCUUCUAAGUUAGAUGUUUAAUCCCGGGGCCCAACCCCGGACAGGCACCUAAAACUGGAAGUCUUGAAUAGUGGAGAGGACGGCGGAAUUGGGGGUGUAGCGGUGGAAUGCGCAGAUAUCAGGAAGAACACCGGUGGCGAAGGCGGCUCUCUGGGCCUUACCUGACGCUGAGGAGCGAAAGCGUGGGUAGCGAACAGG
rnacentral:rRNA from 1 species